rnacentral:rRNA from 1 species
CUUGCUUAAGUUAUUUGCUUUAACAUUGGUUUAUAUGUAAAUUUUUGUUGAUAGAGAAUUCUUUAAGGGGUGAUAUAUUGUUAUUAGCAGUAAAUAAUUUUAUUAAUAUUAAGUUAAUUUAGAUUUAGUAAAUGUUAAUUAGGUUUGGUUAAGGUUGUGCCAGCAGCCGCGGUUAUACAACAAAAUCAAGUAAAUAUUGUUGGUUUAUUAUUAAUUAGUAUUGGGAAUUAUAUUAAAUUAGGAUAUUUUAAGGUGAAAUAUUUAUAAUAUCUUUAAUUAAAUAUUAAUAGUAUGAUUGUUAUGAAAUUGAAUUUAUAAACUAGGAUUAGAUACCCUAUUAUUUUUAUUGUAAAUUAAAUAAAGUCGGAGUAUUAGUAGAUAUGAUCUUUAAACUUAAAGAAUUUGGCGGUAUUAUAGUCUGUUUAGAGGAAUCUGUUAUGUAAUCGAUAAUCCACGUUGAACCUUACUUACAUGAAUUCUUGUAUAUCGCUGUUUGAGAAAAUAUUGUUAGAUUGAUUGUCUGGAUAUAAAAAUAAUUAAUAUUUCAAGUCAAGGUGCAGUAAUAUGUAAGUUGAAUUAAUGGAUUACAAUAAAUUUUAUUUAUUAUGGAUUGUUAUUGAAACAUAAUCUGAAGGUGGAUUUAAUUGUAAUUUUGUAAAGAUUAAUAAAAUGAUUUAAAGCUCUAUAAUAUGUACACAUCGCCCGUCACUCUCGUUAUUAAGAUGAGAUAAGUCGUAACAAAGUAGAUGUAUCGGAAGAUGUAUCUAGAGAGA